UGGGAAUUUUGGACAAUGGGCGAAAGCCUGAUCCAGCAAUGCCGCGUGUGUGAAGAAGGCCUUCGGGUUGUAAAGCACUUUGUCCGGAAAGAAAUCCUUGGCUCUAAUACAGUCGGGGGGAUGACGGUACCGGAAGAAUAAGCACCGGCUAACUACGUGCCAGCAGCCGCGGUAAUACGUAGGGUGCAAGCGUUAAUCGGAAUUACUGGGCGUAAAGCGUGCGCAGGCGGUUUGCUAAGACCGAUGUGAAAUCCCCGGGCUCAACUGGGAACUGCAUUGGUGACUGGCAGGCUAGAGUAUGGCAGAGGGGGGUAGAAUUCCACGUGUANCAGUGAAAUGCGUAGAGAUGUGGAGGAAUACCGAUGGCGAAGGCAGCCCCCUGGGCCAAUACUGACGCUCAUGACGAAAGCG
rnacentral:rRNA from 1 species